rnacentral:rRNA from 1 species
UACGGAGGGUGCGAGCGUUGUCCGGAAUCAUUGGGCGUAAAGGGCGCGUAGGCGGCCCGGUCAGUCUUUGGUGAAAGCGCGGGGCUCAACCCUGCGUCGGCCAGGGAUACUGCCGCGGCUCGAGCACUGUAGAGGCAGGCGGAAUUCCGGGUGUAGCGGUGGAAUGCGUAGAGAUCGGGAAGAACACCGGUGGCGAAGGCGGCCUGCUGGGCCGGUACUGACACUGAGGAGCGAAAGCGUGGGUAGCAAACAGG